UACAUGUGGGGCAAGCGUUGUUCGGAAUUACUGGGCAUAAAGGGUGCGUAGGCGGUCCGGUAAGUCCGCUGUGAAAGUCGGGGGCUCAACCCUCGGAUGCCGGUGGAUACUGUCGGGCUUGAGUACGGAAGAGGCGAGUGGAAUUCCUGGUGUAGCGGUGGAAUGCGCAGAUAUCAGGAGGAACACCGAUUGCGAAGGCGACUCCACUGGCCCGAUACUGACGCUGAGGCGCGAAAGCGUGGGGAGCAAACAGG
rnacentral:rRNA from 1 species